rnacentral:rRNA from 1 species
UUAAGUUAACAAGGGCGCAUGGUGAAUGCCUUGGCACUAGGAGCCGAUGAAGGACGGGACUAACACCGAUAUGCUUCGGGGAGCUGUACGUAAGCUAUGAUCCGGAGAUUUCCGAAUGGGGCAACCCAGCAGUUUUAAUCAACUGUUACCACUAGAUGAAUUCAUAGUCUAGUUGGAGGUAAACGCUGUGAACUGAAACAUCUCAUUAGCAGCAGGAAUAUAAAGAAAUUUCGAUUCCCUAAGUAGCGGCGAGCGAACGGGGAACAGCCCAAACCAAAGUGCUUGCACUUUGGGGUUGUAGGACUGAACAUUUGAGUUACCAAAGAACUUGAUAGUCGAAGGAUUUGGGAAAAUCCGCCAUAGAUGGUGAUAGCCCAGUAGAUUAAAUCAAAUUCUCUCAGUUCAGGAUCCUGAGUACGGCGGAACACGUGAAAUUCCGUCGGAAUCCGGGAGGACCAUCUCCCAAGGCUAAAUACUACCUAGUGACCGAUAGUGAACCAGUACCGUGAGGGAAAGGUGAAAAGCACCCCGGGAGGGGAGUGAAAUAGUUCCUGAAACCAUGUGCCUACAAUAAGUCAGAGCGCGUUAAUGCGUGAUGGCGUGCCUUUUGUAGAAUGAACCGGCGAGUUAUGAUCCCGUGCAAGGUUAAGACUAAAAAGUCGGAGCCGUAGCGAAAGCGAGUCUGAAAUGGGCGAUUUGAGUACGAGGUUAUAGACCCGAAACCAGGUGACCUAUCCAUGUCCAGGUUGAAGGUGCGGUAAAACGCACUGGAGGACCGAACCCGUGUAAGUUGAAAAUUGCUGGGAUGAGGUGUGGAUAGCGGUGAAAUUCCAAACGAACUUGGAGAUAGCUGGUUCUCUCCGAAAUAGCUUUAGGGCUAGCCUCGGAUUAAGGAUCAUGGAGGUAGAGCACUAUUUGGACUAGGGGCCCGUCUUGGGUUACUGAAUUCAGAUAAACUCCGAAUGCCAUUGAUUCAUGUCCGGGAGUCAGACGAUGAGUGAUAAGAUCCACCGUCGAAAGGGGAACAGCCCAGACCAUCAGUUAAGGUCCCUAAAUGUAUGCUAAGUGGAAAAGGAUGUGGAGUUGCAUAGACAACUAGGAUGUUGGCUCAGAAGCAGCCACCAUUUAAAGAGUGCGUAAUAGCUCACUAGUCGAGUGAUCCUGCGCCGAAAAUGUACCGGGGCUAAGCAUACUACCGAAACCAUGGAUGCGACCAUUAGGUCGCGUGAUAGGAGAGCGUUCUAAGGGCGGUGAAGCAAGAUCGUGAGGACUUGUGGAGCGCUUAGAAGUGAGAAUGCCGGUAUGAGUAGCGAAAGAUAGGUGAGAAUCCUAUCCACCGAAUGACUAAGGUUUCCUGGGGAAGGCUCGUCCUCCCAGGGUUAGUCGGGACCUAAGUCGAGGCCGAGAGGCGUAGACGAUGGAUAACAGGUUGAGAUUCCUGUACUAGUUAAGUGCGUUUGAGCAAUGGAGGGACGCAGGAGGCUAAGAUGUGCAUUCUGUUGGAUUAGAAUGUCCAAGCAGUAAGUCUUGUGGAGAGUCAAAUGCUUUUCACUUCAAGGACAAGCUGUGAUGGGGAGCGAAAUUUAGUAGCGAAGCGUCUGAUGUCACACUGCCGAGAAAAGCUUCUAGUGAGUACUUAACUACCCGUACCGCAAACCGACACAGGUAGUCGAGGAGAGAAUCCUAAGGUGAGCGAGUGAACUCUCGUUAAGGAACUCGGCAAAAUGACCCCGUAACUUCGGGAGAAGGGGUGCUGAUCGCAAGAUCAGCCGCAGUGAAUAGGCCCAGGCGACUGUUUAUCAAAAACACAGGUCUCUGCAAAAUCGUAAGAUGACGUAUAGGGGCUGACGCCUGCCCGGUGCUGGAAGGUUAAAAGGAUGGGUUAGCUUCGGCGAAGCUCAGAAUUGAAGCCCCAGUAAACGGCGGCCGUAACUAUAACGGUCCUAAGGUAGCGAAAUUCCUUGUCGGGUAAGUUCCGACCCGCACGAAAGGCGUAACGAUCUGGGCACUGUCUCAACGAGAGACUCGGUGAAAUUAUAUUGUCCGUGAAGAUGCGGACUACCCGCGACAGGACGGAAAGACCCCAUGGAGCUUUACUGUAGCUUGAUAUUGAGUGUUUGUACAGCUUGUACAGGAUAGGUAGGAGCCAUAGAAACCGGAACGCUAGUUUCGGUGGAGGCGUUGGUGGGAUACUACCCUCGCUGUAUGACCACUCUAACCCGCACCACUAAUCGUGGUGGGAGACAGUGUCAGGUGGGCAGUUUGACUGGGGCGGUCGCCUCCUAAAAAGUAACGGAGGCGCCCAAAGGUUCCCUCAGAAUGGUUGGAAAUCAUUCGCAGAGUGUAAAGGCACAAGGGAGCUUGACUGCGAGACAGACAGGUCGAGCAGGGACGAAAGUCGGGCUUAGUGAUCCGGUGGUACCGUAUGGAAGGGCCAUCGCUCAACGGAUAAAAGCUACCCUGGGGAUAACAGGCUUAUCUCCCCCAAGAGUCCACAUCGACGGGGAGGUUUGGCACCUCGAUGUCGGCUCAUCGCAUCCUGGGGCUGUAGUCGGUCCCAAGGGUUGGGCUGUUCGCCCAUUAAAGCGGUACGCGAGCUGGGUUCAGAACGUCGUGAGACAGUUCGGUCCCUAUCCGUCGCGGGCGUAGGAAAUUUGAGAGGACCUGUCCUUAGUACGAGAGGACCGGGAUGGACAUACCUCUGGUGUACCAGUUGUGCCGCCAGGCGCAUCGCUGGGUAGCUACGUAUGGAUGUGAUAAACGCUGAAAGCAUCUAAGUGUGAAACACACCUCGAGAUGAGAUUUCCCAUUCCUUUAUGGAAGUAAGACCCCUGAAAGAUGAUCAGGUAGAUAGGUUAGAAGUGGCAGUGCGGUGACGCAUGAAGCGGACUAAUACUAAUCGGUCGAGGACUUAACCAA